rnacentral:ncRNA from 1 species
UGACCUCGGAUCAGGUAGGAAUACCCGCUGAACUUAAGCAUAUCAAUAAGCGGAGGAAAAGAAACCAACAGGGAUUGCCCUAGUAACGGCGAGUGAAGCGGCAACAGCUCAAAUUUGAAAUCUGGCCUCGGCCCGAGUUGUAAUUUGCAGAGGAUGCUUCUGGCGCGGUGCCUUCCGAGUUCCCUGGAACGGGACGCCACAGAGGGUGAGAGCCCCGUAUGGUCGGACACCAAGCCUGUGUGAAGCUCCUUCGACGAGUCGAGUAGUUUGGGAAUGCUGCUCUAAAUGGGAGGUAAAUCUCUUCUAAAGCUAAAUACCGGCCAGAGACCGAUAGCGCACAAGUAGAGUGAUCGAAAGAUGAAAAGCACCUUGAAAAGGGGGUUAAAUAGUACGUGAAAUUGUUGAAAGGGAAGCACUUGUGACCAGACUUGGGCCGGGCGGCUCAUCAGGGGUUCUCCCCUGUGCAUUCCGCCCGGCACAGGCCAGCAUCGGUUUUCGCGGGGGGAUAAGACCGGCGGGAACGUAGCACCCUCCGGGGUGUGUUAUAGCCCACCGGACGAU